rnacentral:sRNA from 1 species
CAAGAAACCCCCCACUUCCCCUGUGAAGAUUUGAGCCCUGCUCGUUCGGAUGACCGAGCAACCUAACAGAACCAACCACGGCCGCCACCACUCAUCCAAGCAACGGAAGUGCUGAGGAAUCAGCGAUGGUGGAAAUGAUGCUUGAGCUUUGUUGCAAUGGCAUCUACUUCAAGUUCUGUUCACAAGCUUGCCUCGAGAAAAGCGAGCUCGAUGAACACGAAAUAAUAUGAAGAUGAAAGUACCUGGUUCGUACUACGGAGUCACGCGAUUUGAGGUGCAUCCAUAGGGCAAAUCCAACCUCACCUCAAAUUCAAUACCAACACAGAUUUCUCCACGCAACCCAACCAUCCCUCCACCAGAUCCAGUUGCCGGACAAUAACCAUUCCUUCCCGGCAUAUGUGCGCUUUCACGGGCUCUGUCCGACCCGUCCACCGGCUUUCUGCGAAGCGCACUGUCCCGCAAUCGAGAGCGGGGGCCGGACCAUGAUGAUGUCAGGCCGACUACACAGGGGAGCAAACGGCGUUUGCGUAGGAUGGAAAUCGAACAUUUUAAACGCCAUGUGUCAGAGGGGAAUGUGCUAGGCUUAUAGAUUGGCUCUUCAGGUAUCCGGACGUUGUCGCUACAGAGUUCAAGCCGGGGUAUUUACUGCAAAUUACAUUUGACGAAGUCUGAUCGCAGAGCCUGAGUAGAGCGGAAUGGAAGCAGGGGAUGUAUUUUAUAUCUGUUUCAAUCAUUCUGAAGAGAGAAAAAGGUAAAAAAUGAACAAAUAAAUAAAAAGAAUUAAGAGCAUGGCUCGAUGAAAAGUCAGCAUCCUCACUCAUUAUUAUAAUUGUUGUUAUUAUUUCCUCUGAACUAUCGUGGCUUCUCUCCUCCCCCCCAAACGAAAUGGUCCACCUCGGAAUCCCCAACCAGCGAAUCCUCCUGGAGAUGGCGAUACCAUCAAUCAUGAUACCUCCCUACGCGACAAGCGCUAGCUACCACACAAACAUAAACAAGGUAUAUUGUCUCAGUGAGCCUGCCAAGGCGGACGCAGACCUCAUUUAUUCACAUACUUUCUCACUCACUCACUCACUCACUCACUCACUCAGCCAUUUAGCCCGAGCUCACCACAAACAGCCCGCAAAAUCGCUCACACGAGACUAUCAAGCUCCCGUGAAAAACCACGCACACGGCCCAUCCGGGGGACUCUUAACAAUGCCAAACCGCGAAGCAUCCAAAAGCGCCA